rnacentral:rRNA from 1 species
GAUGAACGCUAGCGGCAGGCCUAAUACAUGCAAGUCGAGGGGUAGAAGAGGCUUGCUUCUUUGAGACCGGCGCACGGGUGCGUAACGCGUAUGCAACCUACCUUCAUCUGGGGGAUAGCCCGGAGAAAUCCGGAUUAAUACCGCAUAAAAUCACAGGAUGGCAUUAUCCAAUGAUCAAACAUUUAUGGGAUGGAGAUGGGCAUGCGUGUCAUUAGCUAGUUGGCGGGGUAACGGCCCACCAAGGCGACGAUGACUAGGGGAUCUGAGAGGAUGGCCCCCCACACGGGUACUUAGAAACGGACCAGACUCCUACGGGAGGCAGCAGUAAGGAAUAGUGGUCAAUGGAGGCAACUCUGAACCAGCCAUGCCGCGUGCAGGAAGACUGCCCUAUGGGUUGUAAACUGCUUUUAUUCGGGAAUAAACCUUAUUACGUGUAAUAAGCUGAAUGUACCGAAGGAAUAAGGAUCGGCUAACUCCGUGCCAGCAGCCGCAGUAA